GAUGAACGCUGGCGGCGUGCCUAAUACAUGCAAGUAGAACGCUGAAGCUUGGUGCUUGCACCGAGCGGAUGAGUUGCGAACGGGUGAGUAACGCGUAGGUAACCUGCCUCUUAGCGGGGGAUAACUAUUGGAAACGAUAGCUAAUACCGCAUAAAAGUCGACAUCGCAUGAUGUUGACUUGAAAGGUGCAAUUGCAUCACUAAGAGAUGGACCUGCGUUGUAUUAGCUAGUUGGUGAGGUAACGGCUCACCAAGGCGACGAUACAUAGCCGACCUGAGAGGGUGAUCGGCCACACUGGUACUGAGACACGGCCCAGACUCCUACGGGAGGCAGCAGUAGGGAAUCUUCGGCAAUGGGGGCAACCCUGACCGAGCAACGCCGCGUGAGUGAAGAAGGUUUUCGGAUCGUAAAGCUCUGUUGUAAGAGAAGAACGAGUGUGAGAGUGGAAAGUUCACACUGUGACGGUAACUUACCAGAAAGGGACGGCUAACUACGUG
rnacentral:rRNA from 1 species